GCAUGCAGUCGAGCGAAGCUUUUCAGUAGUUUACUACAGAAAAUGACUGAGCGGCGAACGGGUGAGUAACGCGUGAGCAACCUACCUUAGUUACUGGGAUAGCCCGAGGAAACUCGGAUUAAUACCGGAUAUUCUUAUUUAAUCACAUGAUUUUUUAAGGAAAGGUCAGCCGAACUAAGAUGGGCUCGCGUUCUAUCAGCUAGUUGGUAGGGUAAUGGCCUACCAAGGCUACGACGGAUAGCUGGUCUGAGAGGACGAUCAGCCACACUGGGACUGAGACACGGCCCAGACUCCUACGGGAGGCUGCAGCAGGGAAUAUUGCGCAAUGAGCGAAAGCUUGACGCAGCGACACCGCGUGUGGGAUGACGGAUCUAGGUUUGUAAACCACUUUCAGGAGGGAAGAAAAUGACGGUACCUCCACAAGAAGCCCCGGCCAACUACGUGCCAGCAGCCGCGGUAAUACGUAGGGGGCGAGCGUUGUCCGGAUUUAUUGGGCGUAAAGAGCUCGUAGGCGGUUCAACAAGUCGGUCGUGAAAGUUCAGGGCUCAACCCUGAAAUGUCGAUCGAUACUGUUGUGACUAGGAUACGGUAGAGGUGAGUGGAAUUCCGAGUGUAGCGGUGAAAUGCGUAGAUAUUCGGAGGAACACCAAUUGCGAAGGCAGCUCACUGGGCCGCUAUCGACGCUGAGGAGCGAAAGCUAGGGGAGCAAACAGGAUUAGAUACCCUGGUAGUCCUAGCUGUAAACGAUGGAUACUAGACGUAGGAUUGGAUUAACGAUUUCUGUGUCGUAGCUAACGCGUUAAGUAUCCCGCCUGGGGAGUACGGUCGCAAGACUAAAACUCAAAGGAAUUGACGGGACCUCGCACAAGCGGCGGAGCAUGCGGCUUAAUUCGAUGAUACCCGUAGAACCUUACCUGGACUUGACAUAUAGGGAAAAGUUAUAGAAAUAUAAUGUGCAUUAGCGCCCUAUACAGGUGGUGCAUGGCUGUCGUCAGCUCGUGUCGUGAGAUGUGGUAGUCCCGCACGAGCGCACCCCUGUUCUAUGUUGCAGCAGUAAUGUGGGGACUCAUACGAGACUGCGUGAUAACCGGAGGAGGUGGGGACGACGUCAAGUCAUCAUGCCCUUUAUGUCAGGCUGCCCGCAUGCUACCAAUGGCCAGAUACAACAAGUCGCCAUAUCCCCCGAGGGGGGGGAGG
rnacentral:rRNA from 1 species